GUGGGCGCCUGCAGUCCCAGCUACUCGGGAGACUGAGGCAGGAGAAUGGCGUGAACGUGGGAGGCGGAGCUUGCAGUGAGCCGAGAUAGCGCCACUGCAGUCAGGCCUGGGCGAAAGAGCGAGACUCUGUCUCAAAAAAAAAAAAAAAAAAUUCUAUAUUAACUUUACUUUCACUCUUAAAGUUUAAAAUUAUCAUCUGGUUGUUAGUCAUUAGUAUUUUCUUCUAACUUGAUGUUUAUCUAACUUUUUUUUUUCCUUAUAGAUUUUCUUCUUGUCAGCCUAUUCUUCGACCAAAGAUGAAUAUUUUGGGAGAGAGAUCUCUUUCUCUCUACUCUCACCCUGCUAAGACACAUCCCAUCAAUCCAAACAGCAUCAGUCAUCAGGCACCAUUCAUGGUUUUGGUUUGUUUUUUGUUUUUAAAAACAAGGUCUCACUCUGUUGCCCAGGCUGGAAUGCAGUGGCCCAAUCACAGUUCACUGCAGCCUUGAAUUCCUGCGCUCAAGCGAUCCUGUGCCUCAGCCUCCUGAGUAGCUGGGACUACGGGUGCACACCACUAUUCCCAGCCAUCGUGGUUGUUUCUAUUGGGUUGGUGCAAAAGUUACUUUUAAUAGCAAAACUGCAAUAACUUUUGCACUAACCUAAUAAUAUAGCUUUUGUCUAAGUCAGUGUUGCAUUAGAUGCUUUCACCUUAGUCCACUUUUUCUUUUUUUCUUUUCUUUUUUUUUUUUUUUUGAGACAGGGUCUCCCUCUGUUGCCAAGGCUGGUGUGAUCAAGACUCACUGCAGUCUCAACCUCCUGGGCUCAAGCAAUUCUCCUACCUCAGCUUCCUAAAUAGCUGGGAACACGAGCAUAACACCACCACACCCGACUAACUUUGUUUAUUUUUUGUAGAGGCAGGGUCUCACCAUGUUGCCCAGGCUGGUCUCAAGCUCCUGGGCUUGAGCAAUCCUCCCACCUCAGCCUCCCAAAAUGCUGGUACUAUAAAUGUAAGCCACCACGUCCAGCCUCCACUUCUUAAUAUUCACCCGUUUCUUCCCCCACACUAAUAAAAAUAUCAGCUUUCAUUUUUCUCUAAACUGGUGUGCACCAUGACUGGGUCAACUUGUAGCCAAUCAGGUACAGGAUUUGGGGGGGAAAAAACUAUGUUAUCAUCUGACAAUGUUCUAUUCAUAAAGCAAGCAGAUAUGAACAUUUUAAUGCUUUAAAAUGUAACUGGUCUGUGGUGGCUUACAUCUGUAAUCCCAAGCCUUGGGCAACAUAGUGAAACCUUGUCUUUACAAAAAAUAAACAAAAUAAGCUUGGCAUGGUGUUGCGCACCUAUAGUCCCAGCUAUUCAGGAGAUCGCACCGCUGCACUCCAGCGUGAGGGAUACAGCCAAACCCUGUCUCAAAAAUAAAUUGAAUAAUUAGUACCUGUUUAUUGAAAGUUAAUGGGAUAUACUGGCAGUCAUUUUACUCAUGCAGCAAAUAUUUAUUGAGCAACUACUGUGUGGCAAUCAUUAUGUUAAGUGGUAGUUAUACAUGAUCCUGCAAGGAGUUGGACUUAACUAUCCCUUAUAAAACAUCAGACCAUUUUUGUAAGCCAUGUAGAAUGGUCUAAGGGGAAAAGGAAAAAUUAAUAUUAAUUUUUUAUGAAUUACACAGUCCAGUUACAUCUUGUUUGAUGAUUGACAUCUAAAAUCAGAAUUAAAGUAAAAACUGAAUUAACUAAAGAACAAAACUUUUUUAUUUUUUUUGAGAGUCUCACUUUUCAUACAGGCUAGCAUGCAGUGGUGCCAUCACGGCUCACUGCAGCCUCAACAUCCCUGGCUCAAGUGAUC
rnacentral:lncRNA from 1 species